ensembl:snRNA U6 U6 spliceosomal RNA
UUGCUUUCACAGCACAGAUGCUGUAUUUGUAAUGACACAGAGAAGAUUAUCAUGGCCCUUAUACAAGGACAACACUGAUUCUUGUGAAGCAUUUCUUACUUCC